GUUUGUUCUGAGACUGAACAACAGGAGCAUGCUUUGUUCAGCUGUGCAGCAGGAGAUGGGUCAAAGGAGAUCUCAACAACGUCUGAUUCUCAGCUGACAUGUCAUGACAACACUCAACAGAUACAGACCCUGCCUUAGGAGGCCCAUCUAAAGAUCAUUGCAAGAAGGACAAAUAUCACAGCAGGAG